rnacentral:lncRNA from 1 species
UGAAACACCUUUCAUCAAACAAACUUUCCAUGAAAUAGUUGGCAAUUAACUCUAUGUGUACACUUAAUCGGAUAAUUCAAAUCGGAUAUCAAGCAAUUCGAAACGAACAGCAUCACACUUUCAACAAAGAAAUGGUGAAGUAGCUUCAACUGGGUUCCAACUUCCAACCAUGUGACAGAAUAUUUAACAAAACAGUAAGGUGCAAUAAUUGGCCCAGAUCCACGAAAAUCAUGCGAUUACCAGAAUUAUAUUCUACUCAUCACAGCUUGAAUGUAUUAAACAGAUAUCAACAUUUAGAGCCGAAAUCGAAAUAACGAACGGACCUCAAAUGGCGACAAUCUGAACAAAGACGACAUCAAAUCAGACGCGAAACCACGAACCUCAUCCACGAGCAACACAGCUGAACCAGGCUACACCAACUGAGCUUCAGACAAAUCGAUGAAUGAAAAUCGAAACCAGAAACUGUUAUUCUUGACUCUCUGUAUGUGUGUGCGCGACUGAAAAUUAGUAGGAAGAGGAACGUCCAAUGGUGUGUUUACUGUCAAUUUCCCAACCCCUGCUUUCCUUCGCUCCUGUCGUAUCUAUCUCGUGUAUCUGUGUAGGUGUGUGUUGUUUUGUGAAGGAAUUUCUGUUUAAUUGAAUGGAGUAGGUUGUUUGGAGGAAGGAAACUCCAGAGCUUCUGUUUGAAGAAGCCUGGCUGCUGGUUCUCUUUUGGAGUUAUUGCCGGAUUUAGGCGAGCUUGGUGGUAAAUGGAGGAGCUGAUGGUGGUUGGUUUGUUUUUCGGUGAGCGAAGAAGAAGGGUUUCUUGUUUUUGAUCCUUGGGGUGC